UUCACAGUCUGUGGAGGUUCUUUACUUUGUCUGGCCCUCUCCCCUGAGAAAGAGGGAUAAAUGGAAGCAGGAGGAGAGGGUCAGGUGAUGAUGGGAUUAAAGACCUCUUUGCACAGAGGAGGUCUAACAGACAGACCGUGUUUGACUCAGCAGCAGCACCAGCUCCUUCUGCCUUCCUCUCCAAAGGCCCUCCUGUGGGGCUGCAGUCUGCUCAGCCCUGGACCUAGAUUCACCACACCAAAGCUACUGGUAACUAACCGUUCUAUCUGUGACUACACUAUACAGUCCAACAGAACAUCACUCAUUAUAAACAGCCUCUAGAAAUGUAAACACAAUUCAACCCAUGUAGUCCCACCCGGCCUAGAAGAUCAUAAUCCCAGUCAAUGUGAAGGGGCAGUAUGUAUUUCCUGUCGCCUCAUGCCACUGGCCACGAGACACACUACUUGGCGCUGUUGGAUACCCAAGACCCUGCCUCCCUGCUGCUGUGGGUCAUCAGCCUCCUGAAGAGAGAGGAUAAAUCAUCARGGUUUGAUUGAAAAAGUAAAAACAACAGCAACAACCAACAAUCACAUCCAUAGAAUGAAGGUGGAGCAACAGCGGUGGGUAGUGCUCUUCUUCCAAUGGCAGAAAGGGAAAGGGAGAUACCUAGUCAGUUGUACAACUGAAUGCCUUCAACUGAAAUGUGUCUUCCGCAUUUAACCCAACCCAUCUGAAUCAGAGAGGAAGAGAGGCAGGUGCAACCAUCCCUUGGUUCUGCUGAUCCCACAAAGUUCUACUACUGUGAAGAACUCUGUGUUCACUAUUCAUCUGAAAUAGUUUGCUCAAUUGAAUGUUUGAAUUGAUGUUCUAUAUAAAAAAGAAGUUCAUAAAUAUUUCUAAAUCCCAAAACAUAACUAUUAUACAGUGUGGUUAUAGGUAACCACACUGUGAAUACAACUAAGUAACUAAGUCUUUGACCACACUACGCUGUUAAUUUGGUGAGUAAAAACUCAUCCUACCUACCCUUUAAUGUUCUAAUAAAACAUAG